rnacentral:rRNA from 1 species
AUUGAACGCUGGCGGCAUGCCUUACACAUGCAAGUCGAACGGUAACAGGUCUUCGGAUGCUGACGAGUGGCGAACGGGUGAGUAAUACAUCGGAACGUGCCCGAUCGUGGGGGAUAACGCAGCGAAAGCUGUGCUAAUACCGCAUACGAUCUACGGAUGAAAGCGGGGGAUCGCAAGACCUCGCGCGGACGGAGCGGCCGAUGGCAGAUUAGGUAGUUGGUGGGAUAAAAGCUUACCAAGCCGACGAUCUGUAGCUGGUCUGAGAGGACGACCAGCCACACUGGGACUGAGACACGGCCCAGACUCCUACGGGAGGCAGCAGUGGGGAAUUUUGGACAAUGGGCGCAAGCCUGAUCCAGCCAUGCCGCGUGCAGGAUGAAGGCCUUCGGGUUGUAAACUGCUUUUGUACGGAACGAAAAAGCUCUCUCUAAUACAGGGGGUGAAUGACGGUACCGUAAGAAUAAGCACCGGCUAACUACGUGCCAGCCGCCGCAGUAA